UACGAAGGGGGCUAGCGUUGUUCGGAAUCACUGGGCGUAAAGGGCGCGUAGGCGGCUUGAUAAGUCGGGGGUGAAAGCCUGUGGCUCAACCACAGAAUUGCCUUCGAUACUGCCGUGCUUGAGGACUGGAGAGGAGACUGGAAUUUACGGUGUAGCGGUGAAAUGCGUAGAUAUCGUAAGGAAGACCAGUGGCGAAGGCGGGUCUCUGGACAGUUCCUGACGCUGAGGCACGAAGGCCAGGGGAGCAAACGGG
rnacentral:rRNA from 1 species